AUGGCCACCGGCACUGCAGCCGCCUUAGCGUUUUUGAGUCAGGAGAGCCAAAUGCCAGCCAGGGGUGUUGGGGGCUUGCGAGUCCCGGCCCCCGUCACUACGGAUUUCUGCUGUGAGCUCUCCGCUCCUUCAUCUUUAAGGUAGAGGAAGAGGAUGAUACGGGGCAUGUGCUGGCACUAACCAUGCUCUGCCUCACCAAGGGAGCCAAAGACGAGCGUAAUGUGGGAGAAGUUGUGGCCCAGAACCAUGACCAUCGGGAGAUCGCAGUCCCUGUGGCCAACCUCAAGCUGUCUUGCCAACCCAUGCUCAGCCUGGACGACUUCCAGCUCCAACCACCUGUAACUUUCCACCUGAAGUCAGGCUUUGGCCCUGUGCAGAUCACUGGGAGGCACCAGAUCGUUACAACAAGCAAUGAUGUUUCUGAGGAGGAGAUCAAGGAAGAGGAAGAGGGCAAUGAGGAGGAGGAAGCUGAGCUGUGCCCCAUCCUUCCUGCCAAAAAGCAGAGGGACAGGCCCUAGCCCUCCUUGGUCAAUUCCACGCGCCAUGCACCGCCAUGCACCCUGUUCCCCAACAAGUUUCAAGAAUUGUAAAUGUUUCUUCUUCCUAGAAGAGGAGAGCUUGGGUGGGGUUUGGGCUGGAGGGCCUUGGGCAUUGGCGCUAGGAGAGGGCCAGUGCUCCACAGGACCUUGGUUUUCUGGUCUUGCACCAGGCCUGGGGCCUCUCUUCCCACCUGCCUGUGAGGACUGGAAGUUAGUGCCUGAAGCGCAGAACUACACAUUUUUAACACUUUUACAUUUUUGGAUAAAAGUUGAAAUAAAGUGGUGUGGGGUU